rnacentral:rRNA from 1 species
AUUGAACGCUGGCGGCAGGCCUAACACAUGCAAGUCGAGCGGUUGAAGGGAGCUUGCUCCCUGAUUCAGCGGCGGACGGGUGAGUAAUGCCUAGGAAUCUGCCUAUUAGUGAGGGACAACGUUUCGAAAGGAACGCUAAUACCGCAUACGUCCUACGGGAGAAAGCAGGGGACCUUCGGGCCUUGCGCUAAUAGAUGAGCCUAGGUCGGAUUAGCUAGUUGGUGAGGUAAUGGCUCACCAAGGCGACGAUCCGUAACUGGUCUGAGAGGAUGAUCAGUCACACUGGAACUGAGACACGGUCCAGACUCCUACGGGAGGCAGCAGUGGGGAAUAUUGGACAAUGGGCGAAAGCCUGAUCCAGCCAUGCCGCGUGUGUGAAGAAGGUCUUCGGAUUGUAAAGCACUUUAAGUUGGGAGGAAGGGCAGUAAGUUAAUACCUUGCUGUUUUGACGUUACCGACAGAAUAAGCACCGGCUAACUCUGUGCCAGCCGCCGCAGUAAAAC